AUUGAACGCUGGCGGCAGGCCUAACACAUGCAAGUCGAACGAGUGGCGGACGGGUGAGUAAUGUCUGGGAAACUGCCUGAUGGAGGGGGAUAACUACUGGAAACGGUAGCUAAUACAGCAUACCAUCAGAUGUGCCCAGAUGGGAUUAGCUAGUUGGUGGGGUAACGGCUCACCAAGGCGACGAUCCCUAGCUGGUCUGAGAGGAUGACCAGCCACACUGGAACUGAGACACGGUCCAGACUCCUACGGGAGGCAGCAGUGGGGAAUAUUGCACAAUGGGCGUAAGCCUGUUGCAGCCAUGCCGCGUGUAUGAAGUAGGCCUUCGGGUUGUAAAGUACUUUCAGCGGGGAGGCGUUACCCGCAGAGGAAGCACCGGCUAACUCCGUGCCAGCAGCCGCGUAAUUC
rnacentral:rRNA from 1 species